AGGUCCAUUCUAAUGCCCUGCAGGUUGGUGCCAGUACCUGCAGGGCUUCGCUUGUGGACCACAGUGAAGUGGAAAACUGGCAGCUGGGUGAGCUGGCUGGUGGGCUGCUCAUGGCCUGGCUUUCUGGACAAGC
rfam:Picoides pubescens contig44147, whole genome shotgun sequence.